AUUCGCUCUAUCAGUUUCUUGUAUCCGAUUUGUUCGCGAGGGUUCUCCCCUUUGGAAAUUGUUUAUUGGCUUAGGCGCGGGCGGUUGAUCUAGUCUUUUUCCUAAUGUCGCUAAUUGUUUCGAAAUUUGCGCGAUUUUUGCGUCGAGGGCCGAUUCUCUCCGCGAAUUGGAUUCUUCCGCCAGUGUGUCGCGAUCCUCUACUGCAUCAUUGAUGCCGGCAACUAAAUUUCGCGUUUUUCCCGCCAAUUGAUCUAUCGUUUCUUCACGGAUAGCUAUCUUAAGUGCUUCGGCAAAAGUCGCGGGGUCAUGCGUCAUAACCCGUCUUUUUAGCCUGUCCGUUAGACCAUGCAGAAAUUGGACGCGUAAUUUUUCGUCUAGUUCUCGCUGUUGACAGCGUUUGAUAAUUGCGUUCUCCUCUUCGUUCGCGCCUGUCUGUUCUAUGCUUGUCGCGCUAGCGAGGGAUUGCAAGCGGACCGCGAAUUCCUGAACCAUCUCAUCUCGUUUUUGAGUACAUGUAUGGAACUUCUGGACACGUAAGGAGUAUGGUUCUUGGUCGAAACGCUGAAUCAUCAGCUUCCGAAAAGUUUCGAACUCCGUUACACUCUUCAUGCUGAGGUCGCGCCAUGCAAAAUCUCGGGCUACACCUGUGAGCUUGCACUUGGCUAUGCUCAGGCACUGCCGAGGGGUCCAUCCCGCCAGACUAGCGAUCUCUCCCAACGUGUCAAAGAAAUCGGUGACACGCCCUGUUUCACCCGAAAACGUUGGGAUCAAUCCUCCAAACGCGGAAAAGGAGGGAAGAGAGCCGCUACUGCCACCGUCACGAGGUCGCGUCGGGACACUUGCAUCUGCCUCCAUCGCUCGACCCACUUUUUAGAAAAACUCUUUGUCGGCGUAACUUACAAAAAUUUUUGUGUGGGACUAUUAAAUCCCGAGCUUCUGACACAACUGUAAGGUCAGAACUGGUAUAAAUUGGGCAUAAAAUCCCACUUCUGACACCACUGUAAGUUCGCCGAUUUUGGGGGCAAUACGUUAAUUGCGCGUCAGGAAAACCUAGGGUCAAACCGUAUGUGGGUGGUGGCGGUAGGAGACAAAGAUGACAAGUGUCUUACACGAAAACCGUUUAUUUUGACAUGAAGUUAACUUACACAACAGGAAUAACAAAAUAAGUUCGUUGGCCGGCUGAGGUUUCGCUUCUUCUGUGCCCCGGGGCUCAAUGAGGUAGCUACUGACGAUCUUGCGUCCUUGAUGCGAGUUCAGGUGUCCGAUGAUGCGGCGGUGCUCGGCGGUUAUGGCGUUCUGGAUGCUGGGGGGUCCAGUGCACGGCUGAGACUCGGCUAUCCUGACCUCUUGAGUAUGUGUCCGUGUGCUGCGGGCCUGGCGUCUUGGAGAGAAUCUGCCCCGUGUCCUUGAGAUUCGGGGGUUUUAUAAGAUUUUCCCCGAAUCUCACCCUUUUGAUUGGUCCCUUUCACCCUCUCCCUUACUCCGAUUGGUCAUUCCUUUGUUUCUAGGCGAAACCCGAGACCGAUUCGGGUCGGGAAAAGGUCGGAGAGGUGAUGACGGUCCUUUAACGUUCGCGCUCGUAUUUUACUCCGUUAUGUCCCUUUUCUCUGUCAUCUUUGAACCCAAACGGUCCACCAGAUGUUCUUGUGACCAUUUUAUCCCCUACCGCGUUCUCACUUAACAGAUAUUCCUUUUGUUCUUAGACCCCCUUUCUCCCGCUUGCUUCAACCAGCUAUUUGUUCGCGCGCAUCUCGACAAAGCUCUCCCUUUCUCUGUCGACAUUCCCCCCUGUUAUUUAUCGUCGCGUCGCGUUUGUUUUACAAUUCGAGAAAGUUUUCGUCUCAUCUGGGCUUUGUCACUAACACAUUCCCUUGACCCGAUUCUGUCUUUGAAACUUUCUGACGUUAAAGUUUGUAAUUAGUCGAAAUUUCUACGCGCUUUUACGACCCUCACAAUUGCAUCGAUUGUGGAUUUUUCCGGCCUGAAUCCAUACUGCCCAUCAUUCAUAUGACCCUUGCUUAUUAGGUGCCAGUUAAUCCUUCCUACGAUGAGGCCAUCCAGCACCUUAACCAAAACCUGAAGAAGGCUUAUUGGUCUGUAUUUUUUUUCCGCUGUAGGAUUGACUGUCUUAGGAAUGAAUUUAAUGCAUGCUAACUUCCAGGUAUCCGGUAAGCAGCCUUGAUGGAGGCAAUCGUUGUAGAGGACAACGAAGGCAAUGGGGAUCGCCUCGAAGACCUUCUUAACCAUCUCUGCUGUUAUCUUGUCAUGCCCCGGCGCCUUUUUAUUUGCCAGAGUAUUGAUAGCUUGGCGGACCUCCCCGAAAGUAAACCAUCUGUCAUCUUCCCCAUCUGCCUCCUCUAAUAAUUCAGAGCAAAUACGCCUGUGGCUGCGUUUAUCCUUUAUCGGGUCGUCGGCCAGAAAAUGGAAGUCAAGGAGUUUUGUUAUGUUCCUACUUAUGUGAUAAUUACUACUGUUUGUGUUACCAGGGGAUGUGAAGAUAUUCGAAAUUGCUGCCCCUUUCUUUUUCUUAAAUGUAAUCCUAUAUGGUUCACCCCAUAGGUCGUUAGUUGGGUCUUUACAGAACUUGCGCCAGCCAUUUGACCUGGUUUUAUUUAUGUUAUUUUUAUAUGCUUUUAAGGCCUCCGUGUAUUCUUUUCCUCUUUGUUCCUUUCGUGCACCAUUGCUUUCCCUAAGCAACUUCUUCCUGAGUUUCCUCACUCUCUUUUUAUCGUUUUCAAAGUUCUCAUCCCACCAAUGAGUGCGGGACUCUACUUUUCAGCUUCGAUGAUUGACUGUGGGCAUAGGUGAUUGAGUAAGUGAUGUGGUUAACAUAGUGAUCGAUGUCUUCUUGGUUUCUGUUUUCUGUAAAUCGAUAUUCCCUCCACUGUCUAGCGAAGAUUUCUUGAAAUAGAUUUCUGUUGGUAAUUUUGCUAUAGUAUUUAUUUGUCUGAGCCCCUUGCUGGUAGUCAUUUUUAAUUGUUGUCAGAAUAUAUCAGUAGUCACUUGCGGAGUCUUUGAGGAGGGUAUUGCAACUUAUGAUAUUACUUCCCACCCCAGUGGGCGCCAGACAGACGUCCGUCCAGCCCUUUGCCCUUGCAGUCUGAAAGGUGGGGAUAUCAGAAGUGUUGAGGGAGAUAUCAUCUAUUUCAUUUAACAGGUCUUGCAACAGCCUCCUCUGUUAUCUUUUAUCUCAUGAUACUAUAUGAGAAAUUUUGCAUUGCAUAAUAUACGUAUUCUUUUCUAGUUUCCUCAAAACCGAGGCUAGCUCCUCAACACAAUCUUCGUCACUGUCGAAGGGUGAGAAAUAUAUGCUUAAUAUGUAGUCCACGGGUCCUUGGUGGAGUGCCGCUGUGGUAAUCCGGUUGGAGCUGAGCUCGGGUAUUAAUGCAAUGCUGACUUGGUUGUUCCUGACAAUUAUUCCACGUUUCGGCCUUUCACCAUCAGUAUUUUUGUACAAAACUUGCCAAGUACCGAACCUUACAAUUUGAUCCUUUAUGGUGUAAGGUUCUUGGAUGAGGACAAUGUCCGCGUUCAAGUCGUUUGCCGAUUUUAUAACAAGUGAAGAGGCUGCCUGGCUCUUUUGAGUGUUUAUUUGUAAGAUUUUAAAGUUACCGUUAUCCAUGAUGUUGUGACUUUGUCUAGUUGUAGAGGGAAUAGUAUUUGUUUUAUUCAUAAUUGGUUUGUUUCACCAGUAAUUUCUUGUAAGAUUUUAAGACUGGACAGAACGGCGAGAAGGCAUUAUGGUUUGUAUCGUAUAUGUGAUCGUUUUGUUGCCCUUUAUUUGCUUUCACACAAUUGAUACAUGUAGGUGUAUCUUGUUGGUUUCCACAGUCCUUAAACUUAUGGCGCUUGGUGCAAUGACUACAGCGCUCUCUGUGGUCGCAGGAUGCCGCCAUAUGCCUGAAUCCAGUACAUCGGUAGAACCUGACUAUGGGGAUAUAGUCGUCGACCACCAGAGUGCCCCAUUCAUAGCUUACCCGUCUCAUAUUAAUUAGUAUAUUACGCAGUGCUGGGUGCACUGACAUCAUCACGUGUCUGUAUCCUGGUUUUGUCUUGGAGUUUAUCCCAUGCGUAAUUUUUAUUUCUUGCUCAAAAGCCUCUUCAGAAUAUUUGUUCCGUAUUUCCUCGUUCUGUUCGUAUAGUUUUUUAAUUAGCGCCUCUUUUCCCUUCACAGCCGGUACGUUUAAGAAAAUCACUCUAGGUCUUCUUCGUUCGAGCCUAGUCAUCCUUACCCUCUCGUUCAGCUCUGGUAAUUUCUCAAUUGCCUCUUGCAGGUUUUUUGCAUCCCUUUCCGUUUUAACCCGGAACUUAAUUCCCUUGCCAGGAACAGCCGAUACUUGCCUCAUGCUUAUGCCUAGACUUGCUGGGUCUAUCGUUUCACUUAUAACAUUCAUCAUCUCCUCUAGACAUAGAUCUUUCCCUUCUUUUGUCACUGUUGACACUAUCAUUAAGUCUUGUGUCUUCUCCUUUUACUGGGAUGUAGCAGUAGUGUCAGUUAUUAUAUUUGUGGUACGGCUUCCUCUAUGAGAGGUGGACCCCCUUUUUGCCACUUCCGCGUAGCUGCUGUUACCCUCUCCUGCACCUUUUUUGGUCCUUAGGUCUAGCACAAUACCGUAGAUACUAUUAGCGGCAGCGUGCAUAUCGAACGCUGCUCGCCUGAUGGCUUUCCUAUUGCUCACUGAUACCGAGCCAUGGUAGUUCGCCGGUAAAGCUUGCAUAAUUAUAUCGAGUCCCUGGGUGAUUGUCUCUAAGAAAUCCAUCUCUGGGCGAUCCAUCAUCAAAGAUUCGUCGUGAAGACACGGAAAAAAUACAAAAACAGCCCGACAAUAUACAAACUCGGGUAACCUAGGACGAUGUGACCAGCGAGACCCGAAAAACGAGACGAACACCCACUGAAUUAGGGUCGGUUAGGGUACUUGACCCGGCCACGUGCAGAGGUCAACGACCAUUGACUCCUUUGUCUGGUACAGAUUUAAGAUCGCUCGUUAUUUUAAGACUAAUAUACAUGGACACAUGAAAUUUAGUACACAGGUAGUUAAUACAUAGAUAAAGGAACUGCCCGAAUAAGAAAGAGAACGGUGGCCCGAGAAGCCCGCACGACGGCUCGAACCGUGACUACUUUCGGUCGUUGUAGAGCGUGAACAAAACGUCGGAGCGAAAAACCAAUGACGGCGUUGGAAAGCCCGUAAAAAGCCGAGAAAAAUGGUUUAUUACACUACCUCUUACCGGCGGAAUUCGCCCGGAAAUGGCGGACGGAAAACACAAAAAUUCCGGGGGUCCUAACUACUGAACCGUUGGUCCGAUCCGGAAAAAUCCGAAGUCGUUCGACAGCUCGUGAAGAGACGAAUCCGGCGAUAUAAGUUAAUCCACUAAUUGAUCAAAAGUAACACCGAUGCGGCGAUCCAAAAACGGAGCACAUCCACUCACUGCCUAACUAAUAAUCCAGCGCGACUAGAAAGUUUAUACCGGUCUUGCAUCGAGAGUAAAUCAUAUGGCCUGCCUGACACUGGAACAUUGGGGCGACAUGUAUUCAUAACACACUGGACACUCGAACAGGACGACCAGUGCGGGGUCCGAAAGGAAACGUUGAGAGGCUCCCGGUCUGUUGUUGUUUGUCUCCGAGAACGUCGUUGCUGUCUGUCUUUCCAUGGUUCAUUCUAAAUAAAGGAAAAGAAAGAUAGUUGAGUCUUAGUCUUUUCUCUGGUGAAACUGUACACGAGAUUAUCGCUAAGGAGAUACAGAUGCUUCUUCGCGAUUUUAUAAACGUCUCAUUUGAGUAGGAAUAGUUUCGACUCCAGCGGGAAGUGUGACGGACUCUUUCCGAUUGGGUCUCAUCAGCAUUUGUUGAUUGACUUCUAACACCUCUAAAGUCCUUGAAGGUGGACUCGUCUCCACGGCUACUGGCGCCAAUUCGAUCAUUUCCCUUGAAGCAGACUCCGCUCGUUUUUCCUGACAGGGAAGGAGAUAUGUGAUCGCUGGUUUUCGUUCUUUUCGACAGCUUGAUCGUUUAAAACAGCUCCAAUCACGAGAGCAACUACGAUGACAACAAUAGGGAUUAUGAAUGUCAAACUCCAUGUGGAGAAUGGAUAAGUCCAUACAUUUGAUGGUUUUGAAAACGUGGUAUCGAUCUUCAUUUAUCUUAUCUUUUGACUUAUAUCUCGAAGCAUUCGACCAGAAAAUUCCAGAGUCCAAUCGCGUUCAUUAGAGUGUAGAACGCUUGAGGUAACGUUUUUCUGGAUGUAUUCUUGUAGGAUCUUAAUUUCUGUAAAAUUGUUAACAUCCGUUAUCGCUGGUAUUACGUAAUGGUUUCGAAGGGCAAUCUUCAAUGUGAUCUGUGCUUGAAAGUGAGACAUAAGACGUAUGCCGGGUACGUGGCCAACACAAGUCAUAGGUAAUUUUAAAAAAUUCCUGUAUUGUUUAAUUUGAUCAUUUUAACUUGUGGUUGCAUUGAGCUACUCAUUUGGUUACAUUCCAUAACUAAAUUUAAAGGUGACGGGGUGGAAUAUAUCCAAGUCCCUUCCUUGUCGAUGCGACGAAAUAAUGGCUUUGGAUACACGGUAACGUUUCUCUUACAUAAUUUAUUAACAGUCGGUUCAUCUGCCAUGAACAAGGCGUAUUCACUCCCUUGCUAUCGGGAGGUGUCGGUUCAACGACUCCCACUUUAUUAGUCACCAGAGAGUGGACUUUCCCCUCCACUAUGACCUCUGACCGCGGGGGAAUGACGUAAUCGUCAGCUAACGUCACUUCCUUAGGAGAGUCGUUCUCUCCCUGCACUAAGCUAUUAAAGGUUGUUUGUUUUCCUUCUCUCCUUUUAUUUUUCGCUUAUUAUUUCCAGCGCGUUUGUUUUUCUUUUUCGUUUCCCCGUUUUUUCUAGUUUUAUUCUUGUCUUCGUUAGUUAAAGUUAUAUUUAAAUCGUCUCUUUUUGUAUCAAUUUGCUUCAGACUGUUUUCGAUAGAUUCCUUUGUACUACGAUGUUUGUCUGUUUCUCUUAUCUCGGCUAAACCCAAAAAAAUACAAUAUCGCCCGAGGGAAAACUAAGUGUUGCGUUUCUAGUGGAAAUCGAUACGUCGUACAAUUCAAUGAUGUCUCUACCAAAAAUUUCCUCGUCUGGCUCGGUGAUUUUGGGCCUUACCAAAUAACAAUCAUGAUAAAAGACUAAUCCUCCGAUACUAAAUUUUAAUCUAAACUUUCCGAUUGUCUGUAUAACGUGACCGGUAACACUAACUAAUUCUACCGUUUUCGUUUCGGCUCGCGGUAAUUGUUCUAUGUUGGGGAAAAGUGUUCGAGAUAUUAGGGUAAUCGCUGCGCCCGUGUCUAUUGUCAACCAUACCUCUCUAUCCUCGAUUUUUCGCAAAUCAUCGCACAGGGAGGCAAAUUUCUACCUUUCGAUUCGUUUAUUCCCGCUAAUGGGAUUGAACUGAGCCUUCUGGUGGUCGUUCUACAUCGCGACUUCGUUCUCGAAAUUGUACCGAUGUGACUCUAUCUGAUUCUUGCGGUUGUUUAUUUCCUGACGAGUUACAUUUAGGAGCAGGUAAUGCUGAAAAUCCAGAAGGGGUGGCGUUCGUUCAGCAUCGAAGCCACGUCCUGUAAUCCCUUGACUAUAACGCGGUGGAUAAAAUGGAAAGGGCGCAAAACUCCCGCAACUUUCAGGUUCGAAUUGCCUGAAUCGUGCCUGAUAAAAGGGUAUCUGUUUUAAUUGAUUGGUUUGAAAGGGGUUGGCACGUUUCGUAUGGGGACUACCUAUUCGGGAGCGUCGCGCUUUGCUCCCCACCUUUCCUGAUAUGGUGGAGGGACAUUUCUUCCAUACCAUUUGGAGGGUAAUGGAGCGUACUCUAAUGGAUUCAAAUUCGGCGAAAAAGUUUGUAAGUAUCGAUCUCCGUUUGCUCUCCAUGGGGAAAUUGAGCCAUGUUCCGUAUAUUAAAUAUAAAAGGGGUAUUGCGCGCGGAGUUGUCAUUGCAGGAAGGCGGCAGUGAUCGCUAGGAAAAUUGUUGGGUGGACGACGCUUCAGGCUCGGGGCAUAACGUGGGUUUCGCAUACCAUUGUUCGCCCUUUCAGCUUCUUUAGUUCGAUUUGUUCACGAGCUUUUUUCUCGUCAGAAGCCGUUUGUUUGCUUUGGCGCAGGCUGUUGAUCUAAUCUUUUCCCUAAUGUCUCUAAUUGCCUCGAAAGUUGUGCAAUAUUUAUGUCGAGAGCCGAUGUAAGUUUGCCGACAUCCUGGGGGGAAUCGUUAAUCCCGUGUCAGAAUGAUCUAGGGUCGUACGCGUGUGGGUGUGGCGGAGGAGACACAGAGGACAAGAAUCUCACAAAAACCUGUUUAUUUUAAACAUAAAAUUAAACUCACACUAAGGAACAAAUAUUGUCCAGAUACAAUCGGCUGUUUGGAUGUCGAUAGCAUCGAUGCUCCUGUAGUAGUUUAUUGCUUAGGCGGCCUCGAGGCAGUGAUGUUUUCGGGUUAGUGAGACUCCGUUGGUCGGCGACAGCAGGAUUUUGGUAUCGGCACCCAGACGAAAAAGAUUCAUCUCCAGUUUUUAUUUGACACAGCACUUCCGAUUUUCACACACUUUUGUCUUGACUUGCCGAGUGUUGUGUCGAGUGCAGUCUUGCCGAGUGUCUCCUUUUGUCCUUCAAGAUCAAGGAUAUAUCAAUCUUUGCUCUUGGUUUUGUUUUCUGAUUGGCUUCCUUCGUCUGUCUCUAAGCGAAAAACGAUUCCUUUUCGAGUCACCAGAAAGAUCCGCCUUGAAAAAUUUACCUGACACCAUUGUAACUCUGGAUGCAAAAUGCUGAUGAAACUUUGAAACUUGUGCUCAUAUUUUCCACCAUUGUUGUCUAGUCUGUGACGUUUUUGAUAUUUAACGACACGAUGCGAUGUCCUUUUUUCGUCAUUAAUCUUUCCUCUUUUCAAAAUUUCUAUGUUUUAAUUAUGUGCAUAUGAGCGACUUUUCAAAGGUCCAUCUCUACUGGAGGUCGUUCGUUUACAAUUAUUAAUCAUUUAAAAUUAUUACAUUCUGUUUACAUCAAUAAAGUUUUUUUUUCUCUC